CAAAAAACCCUAACCUAAACACUAAACUACCCGCCCCCCUAUCAUUCUUCUUCUUCUUUUCUUCAUCUUCCCCAAAGCUCCAAACCUUCCUACCAUGGCUUCCCAACGUCAACCACACUCCACCACGACCAUUCCAUCACACUCACACACACACGAACCAACAACUCCAUAGCUGCCCUCCUCCAUCGAGCUUCGUCAUCCAUGGCGAGCUCAAAGCUCAUCCAUGGCUUCCCCUACUGCGUCGCCCGCUUCUUCUUCUUCUUCUCCACUGUUGUUACUACCAUGGUUGCGUCGCUGCUGCCAGCUUCACGUCGCUAUGGCUGCUGCCAGCUUCUUCUUCGUCCUAGCUCACCCCAAGUCACCGGAAAACUCACCAUGCCCGCGACCAGCACCCAUGGUUGCUGUCGCUCCUGCUGCUCCUUCACCUGCUGCCCGCGACCACUGCUGCCUCAUCGCCAUGGCCAGCUACUUUUGCUUCACGUUUCUGCUUCUCCUGUAGCUUCAUCUUCUUCGUUUCGUCGAAGUUCGAGGGUCUUUCGCUGAGUCGAGGUCCGGUACGUCGAGAUUUCUGUUCGGGUUUUGGUUGGGGUUCAUCAAAACAGUCCCUACAUAGUCCAAGGUCGUCGUUGGUUAGUCGUUGUUCGUCGUUUCGAUCCGGUACACAAUUGUAAUUUUGGCAUGUUGUAAAGCUGAAAUGAAGAAUGGAGUGUUAAAUUUUUAAUUUAGUUUUAAUUUUUUUAUUAUUGUGUUUAGAUUAUUCAUGUAUUAUCAUUGUGUAAAUCACUGUCAUUUGGCAUAACUAGGCAUGUUGUAGCAAUAUAUUAAAUAACGCCUUAACCAGA